AACGAACGCUGGCGGCAUGCCUAACACAUGCAAGUCGAACGAGAUCUUCGGGUCUAGUGGCGCACGGGUGCGUAACGCGUGGGAAUCUGCCCUUUAGUUCGGAAUAACAGUUGGAAACGACUGCUAAUACCGGAUGAUGACGAAAGUCCAAAGAUUUAUCGCCAGAGGAUGAGCCCGCGUAGGAUUAGCUAGUUGGUGUGGUAAAGGCGCACCAAGGCGACGAUCCUUAGCUGGUCUGAGAGGAUGAUCAGCCACACUGGGACCGAGACACGGCCCAGACUCCUACGGGAGGCAGCAGUGGGGAAUAUUGGACAAUGGGCGAAAGCCUGAUCCAGCAAUGCCGCGUGAGUGAUGAAGGCCUUAGGGUUGUAAAGCUCUUUUACCCGGGAUGAUAAUGACAGUACCGGGAGAAUAAGCUCCGGCUAACUCCGUGCCAGCCGCCGCCGUAA
rnacentral:rRNA from 1 species